UACGAAGGGGGCUAGCGUUGUUCGGAAUCACUGGGCGUAAAGCGCGCGUAGGCGGCUUUGCAAGUCGGGUGUGAAAUCCCCAGGCCUAACCUGGGAACUGCAUUCGAGACUGCAUGGCUGGAGUAUGGGAGAGGGAAGUGGAAUUUCAGGUGUAGCGGUGAAAUGCGUAGAUAUCUGAAGGAACAUCAGUGGCGAAAGCGACUUCCUGGACCAAUACUGACGCUCAUGUGCGAAAGCGUGGGGAGCAAACAGG
rnacentral:rRNA from 1 species